rnacentral:rRNA from 1 species
CCUACGGGAGGCAGCAGUGGGGAAUAUUGGGCAAUGGGCGCAAGCCUGACCCAGCAACGCCGCGUGAAGGAAGAAGGCUUUCGGGUUGUAAACUUCUUUUAUUGAGGACGAAACAAAUGACGGUACCCAAGGAAUAAGCCACGGCUAACUACGUGCCAGCAGCCGCGGUAAUACGUAGGUGGCAAGCGUUAUCCGGAUUUACUGGGUGUAAAGGGCGUGUAGGCGGGACAGCAAGUCAGAUGUGAAAACCAUGGGCUCAACCCAUGGCCUGCAUUUGAAACUGUAGUUCUUGAGUGCUGGAGAGGCAAGCGGAAUUCCGGGUGUAGCGGUGAAAUGCGUAGAUAUACGGAGGAACACCAGUGGCGAAGGCGGCCUGCUGGACAUUAACUGACGCUGAGGCGCGAAAGCGUGGGGAGCAAACAGGAUUAGAUACCCCUGUAGUC